UACGUAGGCAGCGAGCGUUGUUCGGAAUUACUGGGCGUAAAGAGUGUGUAGGCGGUGCUCUAAGUUCGGUGUGAAAUCUCCCGGCUUAACUGGGAGGGUGCGCCGGAAACUGGAGUGCUCGAGCGUGGGAGAGGAAAGCGGAAUUCCUGGUGUAGCGGUGAAAUGCGUAGAUAUCAGGAGGAACACCUGCGGUGUAGACGGCUUUCUGGACCAUUGCUGACGCUGAGACACGAAAGCGUGGGGAGCGAACAGG
rnacentral:rRNA from 1 species